rnacentral:rRNA from 1 species
AGACGUCUACAUUAGAUACCCCGGUAGUCCCAGCCGUAAACUAUGCGCGUUAGGUGUAUCGGUGACCACGAGUUACCGAGGUGCCGAAGGGAAACCGUGAAACGUGCCGCCUGGGAAGUACGGUCGCAAGGCUGAAACUUAAAGGAAUUGGCGGGGAGCACAACAACGGGUGGAGCCUGCGGUUUAAUUGGACUCAACGCCGGGAAGCUCACCGGAUAAGACAGCGGAAUGAUUGCCGGGCUGAAGACUCUGCAUGACUAGCUG